AAAACUAAAAUGAUUUUUUUUUUAAUUCGAGGUAUUGAAAAUCAUGGCCCGGACUUCUCUUUGGAGCUUUGGUUCCAAAAUUAAUACAUAAAAACUUGUCCCUACACAUGCAUAAGAUGCACUAGUUUCUAUCUAUAGUGAUAGAAGAUGAUAGAAUAAUGGCAACAUUAAAAUCAUCUCAACUACUUUCCAUCCCAAGAACUGAAACCACAAGAUUCC
rnacentral:lncRNA from 1 species